GAUGAACGCUGGCGGCGUGCCUAAUACAUGCAAGUCGAGCGAACGGACGAGAAGCUUGCUUCUCUGAUGUUAGCGGCGGACGGGUGAGUAACACGUGGAUAACCUACCUAUAAGACUGGGAUAACUUCGGGAAACCGUAGCUAAUACCGGAUAAUAUUUUGAACCGCAUGGUUCAAAAGUGAAAGACGGUCUUGCUGUCACGUAUAGAUGGAUCCGCGCUGCAUUAGCUAGUUGGUAAGGUAACGGCUUACCAAGGCAACGAUGCAUAGCCGACCUGAGAGGGUGAUCGGCCACACUGGAACUGAGACACGGUCCAGACUCCUACGGGAGGCAGCAGUAGGGAAUCUUCCGCAAUGGGCGAAAGCCUGACGGAGCAACGCCGCGUGAGUGAUGAAGGUCUUCGGAUCGUAAAACUCUGUUAUUAUGGAAGAACAUAUGUGUAAGUAACUGUGCACAUCUUGACGGUACCUAAUCAGAAAGCCACGGCUAACUACGUG
rnacentral:rRNA from 1 species